AUCCUCAAUGACAACUGACUCAUCAUCUAAGUCUACACAGAGAUCUGAAAUCUUCGAGACAACUAUAUUGUGUAAGCCAUCUACAUCCCCAUUUGCAGUCCCAACAUUCUUAUGAAGUAAGGUAAGCGCUCUCUCCAUCUCAACAUCCUUAAGUAAAUUAAUCGAUUCACUAACAGAUGAAAUACUAGAACCUAGAGACACCCCAAUACGACUAGCCCUCUCCAUGAUUUCAGAAUCAGGUAGUUCAACAAAAGAAAAUUUUGAAAGUAAAUUUGUACCUGAAUUAAAGUUCUCGUUGCGGUCACGAGUCCGACGAGCCGCGCGCUCCAAC
rnacentral:lncRNA from 1 species